UACAGGGGGGGCAAGCGUUGUCCGGAAUCACUGGGCGUAAAGGGCGCGUAGGCGGCCUGAUAAGUAGGGGGUGAAAUCCUGCGGCUUAACCGCAGGGCUGCCUUCUAAACUGUCAGGCUUGAGCACAGUAGAGGCAGGUGGAAUUCCCGGUGUAGCGGUGGAAUGCGUAGAGAUCGGGAAGAACAUCAGUGGCGAAGGCGGCCUGCUGGGCUGUUGCUGACGCUGAGGCGCGACAGCGUGGGGAGCAAACAGG
rnacentral:rRNA from 1 species